rnacentral:rRNA from 1 species
AACGAACGCUGGCGGCAUGCCUAACACAUGCAAGUCGAACGAGACCUUCGGGUCUAGUGGCGCACGGGUGCGUAACGCGUGGGAACCUGCCCUUAGGUUCGGAAUAACUCCCCGAAAGGGGUGCUAAUACCGGAUAAUGUCUUCGGACCAAAGAUUUAUCGCCUUUGGAUGGGCCCGCGUUGGAUUAGCUAGUUGGUAGGGUAAAAGCCUACCAAGGCGACGAUCCAUAGCUGGUCUGAGAGGAUGAUCAGCCACACUGGGACUGAGACACGGCCCAGACUCCUACGGGAGGCAGCAGUGGGGAAUAUUGGACAAUGGGCGAAAGCCUGAUCCAGCAAUGCCGAGUGAGUGAUGAAGGCCUUAGGGUUGUAAAGCUCUUUUACCCGGGAUGAUAAUGACAGUACCGGGAGAAUAAGCGCCGGCUAACUCCGUG